AAGUCGUAACAAGGUAACCGUAGGUGAACCUGCGGUUGGAUCAUUAGUGGUUUUUACGUAGCGCUGUUGUAGUGUUUCUGGGGGGUGUUUGUGGUUGGUCUUUGAGUUUGGUGUUGGUUGUUUGUCUGUUUUUGUGCGAUGUCUUGUGCCUUGCCUUGUGCGGUGCCUUGUGCGGUGCCUGGCAGUACAAACGAUCGACGGCAACACUCGGACCAGACCCAAGCCCUUGCAGACAAUAGACGUCUUUGCUUGCUUUGAUGAAACCAAAUCAAAAACAACUUUUGACAACGGAUCUCUUGGCUCUC
rnacentral:misc_RNA from 1 species